AGAAAGAACGUUUCUGUGCUGAGUUAAGUGUUCAGUUCUCUUUACCUUUUACUUUGAAUUUGAUUAGUAAAGGGCUAAGAUGACUGGCACUUCGCUAAGUAUACUCCUACGUCAUUGGA
rnacentral:precursor_RNA from 12 species